GUUUCUGGCCGCCCGCGCCGGGGCCACGCAGGCAGCGAGGCGCGCCAAGGAGGCGGCUCUGGCCCAGGUCGUCGCAGCAGCACAGGAGACUGUAGCACAGAUGCCAUGGUAUACAAUCUGUGUGAUGGGGCGUUCUGAAAGAACCUUGAACUUCUCCAACACAAAGCACUCAGGUGGUGGCUCUCAAGCUAAUCUCUGUGUGCCAACGAGUCUGCUCUUCCAGGUUUGAGCCCUCAGCUCUGACAGCUCUCAAAUAUGGACACUGCAGGCAGCAAGCAGCAGGCAAUCCAGAAGGAGGCAGUCUGAAUCAUCAGCAUGGCGGCUCCAUGAAGUUAACAGCCACCUGGGCUCUUGGUAACCUUGGAUGUGUCCCACCUUCCUGUGGUUGAAGUUGGGUGCUGCGGUCCCCAUAAUCAUCACAUCUCCAUCCCAGCAACUGCAUGGAAGAAGGGGAAGAGAUUUCUGAGAAAUCCCACAUGAAUGUUGCGCACCUUUCGUUGGCUGGAACUCAAUCACACGGCUACCUCUGGCAGCAAGGGGUAGCUGUGGAUGGAUGGAAAUGUUACUAGGUUCUGUUGGUUUGAGAGAGAAGGUGGAUAUUUGGCAGGCCGUCAGCAGUGUCUGCUUCAAGUCGUUUCCAGUCUGUUCGUACAACGAUGCUUCAACGAACACCUUUGAACACAGGGAUCACAGUCAAAUAUCCCCAACCAACUAGAAUAGCUUCCAGAGCUGCAAGGGGAUCUGGGAGCUAACCUCUGUCUGGAAUUAACUCAUUAACUCUUGAUCACAGAACAGUAUGGGGCAGAGGGGAGAAGGUUAAAGUGGCCUGGGCAGUGGGAGUCAAGGGCGUUUGCAGGACUUGAGGUGGGGGCUGUCUCCCAACCAAAAGAGAAGUAUUUCAGUAUCUUAGCAACUGGUAGAGUCCUGGCUACACUUGCCCUUAGUAUGUGUACGUGCUGGUGUUUCUCUGAGUAGAUACACUAGGUCGUAGGGUGUGUGUGUGUUUCGCAUUUUAAUAGAUGCUCCCAAAUUGUUUAUGCUAAUCCAUACCCUCCCAGCAAUUCCCCUCAACCUCAUCACCUCUACAUAUUAAGAUAUUAUAUUUUAAAAAUAAUUUUGCCAGUUCGUAUGGAAGAAAAAUGAUAUCUAGUUAUUGUUUUUAUAUGCGUUCCCCUGAUUAUCACUGUGGGUAAGAUUCUUUUUUGUUUCUUGGCCAUUUCAAUUCCUUGUCUAUAAACUGACUAUUCACAGAGCUUGCCAAUUUUGCUGGAAUUUAUUUUUGUAUGUAAUCUGACGUAGCGCUCUAAUAUUUUCCAAUUAGAUAAGCAAAUGUCUGAAAUCAAUUACUAAAUAGUCCCCUCUUCUCUUGCAGGUAUAAAAUACUAUAUUUCCCAUCUGUGGAUUCUCUCUUUGGUUCCAUCGAUCUAUUUGUCAAUAUUUGCAAACAAUAUUGUCUUAAUAUGCAUUAAUUUUGUAAUAAUUUUAAGGCUUUUCCAAAAUAAUAUUCAAGCAAGAAUCAAAGAAUAGGCAGAAUGCUUUUGGAAAAUAAAAAUAAGAAUAAUACACAUUUGACCCUUGAACAAUAUGGGGUUGGGGGUGCCAAUCCCCCACGCAGUCGAAAAUGCACGUAUAACUUUUGACUCCCCAAAAGCUUAACAACUAAUAGCCUAGUGAUGACUGGAAUCCUUAUUGAUAACAUAGUUAACACAUAUUUGGUACAUUAUAUGUGUUCUGUACUGUAUUCUUAAAGUAAGCUAGAGAAAAGAAAAUGCCAUUAAGAAAAUCAUAAGGAAGAGAAAAUAUGUUCACAGUACUGGACUGUAUUCAUCAGGAAAAAAAUCCACCUGUCAGUAGACGUGCAUUGUUCAAAGCUGUGUUAUUUUAAGGGUCAACUGUACUUUUUGCAAGAUCUUAAAGUAAAUGAUAAAGUUACAGUAUUAAAACAGUGUGGUGUUAGCUCAAGACAGGACAGACAGAAUGAUCAGUGGGGUGAAAGAGAAAGCUCACACCCGGGCCCUCGUGUUUGGUAUGCCAUCUGGCUGUUGAAAUUAAGGCAGUUUCUUUGCCAAAAGAAAUUCCAGAUGGGGCAAAGUAUUUAAUGUUGGAAAUUAGGCCAUAAAAUAAUUACAAGAACAAUUUGCAAUAAAAAACUUAAUAAACCUAAAAGUAGUGGAAGAGACCAUGGAGGGUAAGACUAGUAAAUUUGGCUGCAUGGCUACAUACAUAAUUUACACUUGUAUACCUAAAAGUCUCAAAUAAAAUUAAAAACAAAGAAAAAUACUGU